rnacentral:rRNA from 1 species
UAGGGAAUCUUCGGCAAUGGGGGCAACCCUGACCGAGCAACGCCGCGUGAGUGAAGAAGGUUUUCGGAUCGUAAAGCUCUGUUGUAAGAGAAGAACGUGUGUGAGAGUAGAAAGUUCACACAGUGACGGUAACUUACCAGAAAGGGACGGCUAACUACGUGCCAG